rnacentral:rRNA from 1 species
UACGUAGGGGGCAAGCGUUGUCCGGAUUUAUUGGGCGUAAAGAGCGUGUAGGCGGCCAGGUAGGUCCGCUGUGAAAACUCGAGGCUCAACCUCGAGAUGUCGGCGGAAACCAUCUGGCUAGAGUCCGGAAGAGGAGAGUGGAAUUCCUGGUGUAGCGGUGAAAUGCGCAGAUAUCAGGAAGAACACCCGUGGCGAAGGCGGUUCUCUGGGCCUUACCUGACGCUGAGGAGCGAAAGCGUGGGGAGCGAACAGG